CCUACGGGAGGCAGCAGUGAGGAAUAUUGGUCAAUGGACGAAAGUCUGAACCAGCCAAGCCGCGUGAAGGAAGACGGCUCUAUGAGUUGUAAACUGCUUUUGUAGAGGGGUAAAAUUGAAGACGUGUAUGCCGUUGAAUGUACCGUACGAAUUAGGAUCGGCCAACUCCGUGCCAGCAGCCGCGGUAAGAAGGAGGAUCCAAGCGUUAUCCGGAUUUGUUGGGUUUAAAGGGAGCGUAGGGGGAGGGUUAAGUUCGAUGUGAAAUUUUGCGGUUCAAACCGAGAAUUGCAGUUGAAACUGGAUCACUUGAGUGCAGUAGAGGUGAGCGGAAUGCGUGGUGUAGCGGUGAAAUGCGUAGAUAUCACGAAGAACUCCGAUUGCGAAGGCAGCUUACCGGCCCGCAACUGACGCUGAUGCACGAAAGCAUGGGUAUCGAACAGGAUUAGAUACCCUAGUAGUC
rnacentral:rRNA from 1 species